rnacentral:rRNA from 1 species
GAUGAACGCUGGCGGCGUGCUUAACACAUGCAAGUCGAACGAGAAGUGGAGACGGAAACCUUCGGGCGGAAGACUUUAUUUCGAGUGGCGGACGGGUGAGUAACGCGUGGGUAACCUGCCUCAUACAUGGGGAUAACAGUUGGAAACGACUGUUAAUACCGCAUAAGACCACAGCACCGCAUGGUGCGGGGGUAAAAACUCCGGUGGUAUGAGAUGGACCCGCGUUCGAUUAGCCAGUUGGCGGGGUAACGGCCCACCAAAGCGACGAUCGAUAGCCGAUCUGAGAGGAUGACCGGCCACAUUGGGACUGAGACACGGCCCAAACUCCUACGGGAGGCAGCAGUGGGGAAUAUUGCACAAUGGGGGAAACCCUGAUGCAGCGACGCCGCGUGAGUGAAGAAGUAUUUCGGUAUGUAAAGCUCUAUCAGCAGGGAAGAAAAUGACGGUACCUGAGUAAGAAGCCCCGGCUAACUACGUG